UGGUACUUGGAGAGAGGUGGUCCGUGGCGCGUUCGCUUUAUUUAUGGCGCACAUUACACGGUCGACCUCUUUGCAGUAUCUAAUC
rnacentral:pre_miRNA from 1 species